rnacentral:ncRNA from 2 species
AAAAUAGAUAGAGGCGCGGGAGCGACUACAUCAGCUGGAGUCGGCAGACACCUGACAGCUGGUUUCAGCAAUUCCGCCGAACUGCAGUCUUAGGCAUAGGAUUGUGGUGGGCUUAUGAAGAAGAUUCAUAAGACUGUCUACCAUCAGUAGAUGUGCUAUCAUUAUU